rnacentral:lncRNA from 1 species
CUUGGUCCGCCAUGGACCGGCGACCCAUCUACGACAAAUUGAGCCGCAGAAGCUUCAGCAGCACGCUUGCAGCUUCAUCGGUGCUUGAAGGGGCGCUCUUCUUUGCGAAGAACGACGGCAGAGGUAGGGACUCCGGGGGAGGCGCAGCUAUACACGACGACGACCCGGCGUAGAACCCGGAAGCCCAGUUCCGUUCCGGAACCUUCUUCGAGUCAGGACCCAUCCGGCUGGUGGAUCCGAGAUCCGGAACCUGGGGAUUGGGAUUCUGCUUCUGUGGUGACCGAACCGGAGUCGCUUUGGGGAUUUCGUCGCCGCGUUUUAGGAUUUUGACCUGGCCCAUGACGAUAUUCUUGGGGGCUGCGGGUUUCUGGACCGGAGAGGGUGAGUUGUUGUUGGGCCGGGUCGGCCUUCGCUUCUUCCGGUCGGUUUGGGGAGAGGUUCUGACCCGAUUAGGGUUAGGGUUUCGAUUGGGAUUCAUCAGCGCUUGCUGAGGUGAGAGAGAGUCUUUGAGGCAAUUCUGGGGACUGAGAACUUGAACACCCAUCUAAAAUCUCACAAAAUCAGAUCCAAAAAUUCGAGCUCUUGCUACGAAAGAGAAGGAGGAAAUGAAAAACUUUGGGAAUUUACAGAGAGAAAUGUGACUGUGUGAAGAUUGGGAAGGAAGUAGGGUUGAGUUUUAUAGGGGAAGAUAAGAGACCUGAAGGGAAUAGGAGUAGGAAAAGCGACAAAAGGCGGUAGUGUAUAAUAGAAUCCACUUUCAUCAACCCCCCCUUGGGGGUUUCCUUCCUACACCGGUUUUUAGCCAUCAUUAUUGUUUCCCUUCACGAAUCUCAAUUAGGUUUCCUUUCCUUUUCUUUUUAGGAAAACGAUUACGUUUCCCAAAACACAUUUUGGUAUUAUUAUUUUCUUAGUGAUUUAGAAUUCAAACUUUUCUUGUUGAGGAAGAAAGUGCCCGAAAUUAGAUAUUAUGUUGUUUUUAGGUUUCCUAAAACACAUUUGUUAUUUUUUAAAGUGACUUAAAAUUCAAACUUUUCUUUUUGAAGAAGAAGGGACCCAACUUUUAAAUGUGUUACCAAAAUUCCUUAUUAUUGUGUUUAUCACAACUCCUAUUCUUAAGUAAUUAUUACAAAUUCUGAAAACUUCUUCGGAUGCUUCUCAUAGCUCAGCAUCCGAGACCAGCAGCACAACCAAUAACAACCACCAUAAUUUUCCCUAGCAAAGCAUGGGUUUCAAUUUAGGAGCUUCUCCGCUUAACCAGUACUUAGCUGCAGACCCUUCCAUCGGCAUGGAUUAUGUUUUUGGGAAGUCAUCUGCUUUUGUUUACCCUUACAAUCCAUUUGGUUCGCAUAUUGAAACUCUUGAGAAUGAAUUUCCCAUGUUUAAUCUCAUGAGUUGAGAAUAGAGGAUGCUCAGUCCUAUAUUUGUAAAAGUUGAGAAAUGAGGAUUAUGAAAGGUCAUUUUAUCACAUUCCCAUUGGUUUGUGGAGUAUUAGGAAUUAAAAUUGUUCAUCUUUCCAACAAUAUUCUUAUCUUUUUUUUUUUAAUUAAAGAGAAAUAAAUACGAAGAGUUUUUCUAAGAGUAAAAUAUGGUAUUUUAAAAAUAAGAUAUGGGUAAGUUAGCCAUAAAAAUUUGAAUUAAAUGCUUUCCCAUGUGGGGGAAAACAAAUUCCCAAGCUCAGCCAGGGUAUGAAAUUCCCUUUACAUGGGAAGUCAACACCCACGAGUCUAUAAUUGCAUUUCCAAUAGUGUACUUACUAAACAUGCGAAUGGAAUUUCAAACUAAUUCUCAAAUUCCCAAAUUUUGAACUAAACGAGACAUUAUGGUGUGUUUGGUUCAGGGAAAAUGGGGCUUGGGAUAGGAAAUUAGAAUUUUCUCAUGUUUUAUAAACCGAGUCAUAGAAAAUGAUUGCCUGACACAUGAGAAACUAGGAAAAAUUAAACUCUCAAACCCCUGAGGUGAGCAUUAAAUGCACAUUUUUAUGACUAUUUUGUCCAAUUCACAAUUUAUCACUUUGACUAUUCUUUUAUUUUAUUCAAUUCAUAUUUUUAAAAUGGGUAUACUUUAUAUUAAAUUUGUUUUAUAUUUAUACACAAACCAAACAUAAAAAAUUAAAUUCAAUAAUUUUUCACCUUCCCAAUAUUACCAAACAUAGAAAAAGAAUCAUCCUAUCAUCCAUAUCUCAUCUCUUGUAAAAGACAUUGAAAAUGAUUUCCCAUCAAAUCUUUUGAUCGACAGAACUGCUUUUGUCCUUUUGCUUUUGAUAACUCCAACCCAACCCAAACCACAAAGUCUCCAUAAAUAACCAUACAAGUUCAACAAAACCAAACAGAGUCCAGUGAAAUUCUGAGGUAAACAUUUGAUUUACUACCUUCACCAAGAAGUUCCAAGUUAGAACCCAUGUUCAUCAUAAUCUGUCAGCAAUUGAACUUUCCCAGAAGUCGAUUCCCCACAAAUUUCCAUCAAACACCUCAUACAUACACAACACAGCCAUCUCCAAACCCCAAAUUUAAUCACAAGAACAAGAUAAAGGAAAUUAAGAGUGCAAAAGAGCAGACAAAACACCAAUGGAAUUAAAAACCAAAUUAGACUUAACAAAUUGCUUGCAACUACAUCGUAAAAACUUGUGGAUACAUGUACACAAAAUAUACCCUUAUUUAACAGAAACAGCUCCUAAAAAACUAUACCUCUCAACCUUAAAUAGUACGACACAAAAAUAAAAGCAACCCAACCCUAAUUUAAUUGAAAACAAAAUGCUAAAAAUUGGAGCCAACCCAAGUUACCAACUACUGCUGCACAUAAUUAAAAUCCCUAACCCAUAAAUUAAUCUAAAAAGAAGAAAAAGCGUUAGGUCGAAUUGUGACCUCAUCCAUCUCUCUUCCCACGAAAAAAUAAGGGGAAGGGCGAUAAUCACACAACACGAACAUUAGCCAAACGCGGUCUCUACACUGCUGCACAUGCUUGGUCCGCCAUGGACCGGCGACCCUUCUACGACAAAUUGAGCCGCAGAAGUUUAAGCAGCACGCUUGCAGCUUCAUCGGUGCUUGAAGGGGCGCUCUUCUUUGCGAAGAACGACGGCAGAGGUAGGGAACUCGGGGGAGGCGCAGCUAUGCACGACGACGACCCGGCGUAGAACCCGGAAGCCCAGUUCGGCUCCGGGAACUUGGUCUGCUUCGGAGGAAUCGGUACCAUCUUCGGGUCAGGACCCAUCCGGCUGGUGGAUCCGAGAUCCGGAACUUGGGGAUGGAGAUUCUGCUUCGGUGGUGGCUGAAUCGGGGCCGCUUUGGGGAUUUCCUCGCCGCGUUUUAGUAUUUUGACCUGGCCCAUCACGACAUUCUUGGGGGCAGCGGGUUUCUGGACCUGCGGGGUUGGGUGGUUGUUGGGCCUGGUCGGCCUUCGCUUAGUCCGGUCGGCUUGUGGGGAGGUUCUGACCCGAUUAGGGUUAGGGCUUCGAUUGGAAUUCAUCAGUACUUGAGGUGAGACAGAGUCUUUGAGGCAAUUCUGGGGACUGAGAACUUUAACACCCAUAUAAAAUCUAACAAAAUCAGAUCCAAAAAUUCGAGCUUUUGGAGCUCUUGCAACGAAAGAGAAGGAGAAAAUUACAAACUUUGGGGCUCUUGAGAGCCAAGGGGAAUUUACAGAGAGAAGGGAAAACGAAGAUGAGACAGUGUGAAGAUUGGGAAUGAGGGAGGGCUGUGUUUUAUAGGGAAAGGAAGGGGAAGAUACCUUAAGGCAAUUCGAGUAGGGAAAGCGACAAAAGGCGGUAGAGUAUAAUAAAACCCACUCUCAUUGUUUUCGAUUUACUUUUUCCCUUCAACAAUUAGGUUUCCUUUUUCUUUUUUGUUUUGAGGAAAACAAUUUAGGUAAGUUUCUAAAACUAAAACACAUUUUUUUAAAUUAUUUUUAAAAGUGAUUUUUAAAUUCGAAGUUUUCUUUUUCAAGAAGUAAGGACCCGACUUUUAUUAUUUGGUUGGAACCACAUAAAAUGUACUAUCAAAAUUCGUUAUAUUUUAUAUACCAAUAUUAUUAGUGAAAAGAUGCACAUAAUAAUUGAAUUUAUAAUCACGUGAAUUAUAAGUCGUUUAUAUUAUAACUUUUUGAUAGUCCACAAUUAAAGUACAAGGUUUAAUUGGUUUAGAAAUUUAUUUUGAGAUUGAAAAUUAUAGGGUUUUUUUUUAAAUCCCAAUAUUCAAUAGCAACUAAAUAUUAAUUCCAUUAACUUCUUUGUUUCCAUCAAAUCCAAACACGAUUUACAUGAUAUUGUUUAUGCGCGUGAUCUGAAGCGCGUAGGAGACAUAUAGCUCCCUUCCUGUUUUCUUCUAUUUUUUUGGUGACGGGAAGUAUCAUUGAAGGCCCUUUACCUAAAACGCUGCUUUAAUUCGUGAUGACGGGCGUGUGACGUGGGUUCGAAACCACCGCUGGCAUGAUUAUCCACGGCCUUAGUUCUUGCGCCUUAUUUUUGGAAGGAACUACCACAAUGCCCCUAUCAAAUAUGAUUUUCUUUUUUCUUUUAAUUCCCGUACUAGUAAUAUUGCAAAAUAAAAACGUUUUUCCGAUCGAAAUAAGAAGCCUCAAUCCUUGUAAAUUAGGAAUUGGACAAUGUUAGUCAAACAGACACGUGUCUAGAACCUAACAGUGACACUUGUACCAAUAAGAAGACGCCACUUCACAUAACAAAUGGCAAUCCUGUCAAGUACUGCAGCCCAUAAUACCUUUUUAUUCAACCAUUAACAUGUUGACACAUAUAUUUAUAAUUAAAUAAGAAAGUAAUAUUAAAGAUCGGUUAGGUACGGGUUUCCAUGGGUAAAUGAUAUCCUCACCCGUUCCUUUAUCUGAUAUUUUCAGUAUGGGUCGGAUGGGUUAAAUUAAUAAUUAAAAAAAUUUAUAUAUAAAACAAAAAAUAAAGAAAAAUAAAAUAUUUAAAAUAUCAGAAAAUACUUUUAAUUAAUAUAAAUAUUAAAAAUUAAAAAUAUUAAUUAAAUAAAAAUAAUAUGAUAAAUUCACAUUUGAUCAUGAAAUGACUAAGUUUGCAUCAAAAUUUCUGGUGCUUGUGAGUGGAUCGGUUGCCUCCACUAUACUGCUUCUUUCAAAAGGAUGUAAACAUUUUGUGAGAUGAAUGAAUUUCAUAUCCUUUUUUUGUUGGAAAAAUAUAAAAAAGAUAAAUUCUUUUUGAAUCUUCCAUGUAUUUUUAUAUUCAAGUACUUUUACUUAGUGGCGUAGAUUUGGCCCAAAAUUAAGCACCAUUCAUUGCAAUUGAAAAUUGUAUAGAACUGAAAGUCCUUAAACAUUGUUAUCCCGAAAAAUAUUUUCAUAAAGGAAAAUGUUAAAUUUAUUAUAUUUUUAUAUCAUAUUAUCAGUCCUGAUCUCUUGGACCACAGGAGUCCAAGAGAUUGUGAUCACUCAUGUGAUGAAUAGAAUUAAUAGAUUCAAAAUGUUCUCUUGUGAAGCUAUUUAAAGGGAUUGCANNNNNNNNNNNNNNNNNNNNNNNNNNNNNNNNNNNNNNNNNNNNNNNNNNNNNNNNNNNNNNNNNNNNNNNNNNNNNNNNNNNNNNNNNNNNNNNNNNNNACGUCCCGGAGCUAUGACCCACGAUUACGCGCUGUUAACUGCAAUUGGUCACGUAUAGUGGUGAAAAUAUGUAAGGAUUGUUAUACCUUUACAUAUCGGAGUAAAGUAAAAUGUGACCCUUUUUAUUUUAUCCAACGGAGAGUGAGCACAAAUCUCUUGGACUCCUGUGGUCCAAGAAAUCGAGACUGAUCAUAUUAUAUAUCACAUCUUUAAUAGAGAUGAGUGAGGCUCAUCUCUAUUACAAAUAUAUGACAAGUCUAACAUUACCUCUCCAUGAAAAUAUGCAAUCAACUUGGUUUGACCUUUGACCUCUUGAUUUUUAUUCAAAGACACAUAUUCGGUUUCAAACUGCCCUGGUCAGCAGUCAACUUCGGCACAACGAAGGUUACGAGUCUUUUGACAAAGGCAGCGACCCAGAUUCAGGAAACUAGGCCCAACUUGGUAAUUAAACCCAAAAUGAGAGGCAAUCAUUUAGAAGCCAAAAGACAAAGGAAGGGAAUAAGAAAGAAUCCCGUGUGCUCGAGACAACAAACGCAUCAGACCGAAAAAAAAGAGAGACAACAAACGCACACAUCAGUCUACUUCCUACCCGAAUAAAAAUCAAUAGGUCCACGUGUCGCGAGUAUAUUUAAUUGGAUGGUGUAGACGUGGAAUGAGGACAGAUGGCAGCUGGCCCAACCAACUUGCAAAGGAUGGUUCAACUCCAACUGGGCCGCAUUUCUCUAUAACCUGUUGCCAAGCUGGAACUUAGGAUGGCAUCUGCUGGCCGUAAAUUAAACAGAAUAGAGCUAGUCUCAAUUCAAAAUUUCUCCCAAACAAAAGAAAAAAAGAAAGAAAAAAAAAUCGUAGAGGUAGACACGGUUCGGUUUAACUGUAUUUAACCCUCAAAUAGGAAAUCUAAUCAAUGUAAUAUCAUGAUUUAGCGUAGGCGGUUUUCAUAUAGGAUAAAUCGAAUCAAACCCAACGAAACAAAUUUUGGUUUGGUGCGGUUAUGUCUAAGAUUACAUACGUUUAGUGCAAAAGCCGAAUCGAACAGCUUGAAUUGAUUUGAUUUGGUUAAGCCGGUUUGAACAAAUCCGGGCUUUUUUUAUUAUUGGCCGGAUGUGGACCUCAUGAUCAUCAUUAUGACAUCCCAACAUGUGCAAGCCCUUGGUUUUUUUAUAUCUAAAUGGGCCAAUUUGUUCUGGAGUAUGAUUCUAAUAAAGGAUUUGGUCAAACUUGGGGCCAAUUUGUCUGCAACCCAAAUUUUCCAAGAGCCAUUUUGUCAAACUUGUCAGAUUUAUAUACCGGGUUUGGUGCCUACAAUUAGUUUGGAUUGAAUUGGAUAACUCUAGUAAGCUAUAAUUGUGUUACAACUUGGCCCGCAUUGUUCCUUUCUCCAAAUGAAAUAAAUAUACAAAAUAGAAAAUUACAAACUAAAAGUUUACGUUUAUACACCAAACCUUAUCUUACUUAUUCAGACCACCGACAUUGGGCAUGCGCCAGCCCUCGUACAUGAUCUUUCAACUUGGAGACCAGUGUUUUUAGUAAACAAUUACCCGAACUUUGGGGUUUAAAAAUGAGUGAGAGGUUUCCCUAGAUAAACAAACAUGAUUUCCUUGUCUAAAAUAAAAAAAAAUUAUAAAUUACAAAAAAAUAAUAUUGUACACAUUCCCGUUCACCCACACUACAUGGAGCGGGUGGCAACAAAUUCCCCGCCCCACGACGAGCAGGUGAACAUGACUGAUAAUGUAUGUGUAGCAAAGGGCCACGUAUGGGCUGUAAGUUGAGGGAAAGUCGGGUUUUUUUAAUUUAUUGGUCAAUCAAUGAGAGAAGAUUGCGUUGGCAAAAGGCCCAAAGUGAUACUUGGUGGAUAAAAUUUUCCAUGUGGAGCAAAAUUUCAUUAUAUGUGUAUUUAAGUGGAAUAUAUUAAUAGAAAGGAUGGCAAUAAUUGUCCUGGAUAUUCAUGUCACGCAUUAGCAGUUUGGAUUGGACAAGUAUUUAUAUGAAUUAUUAUUACAUGGGUCGAAAAUGAAAAAUGUCGGUGGUAACGAAAUCAAUGAUCACUACAUAAUUUUAUUCCCUAAUUUUUCUGAGUGUGUGUGUACUGGCUGCUGCCACACUGAUCAAUACUGAAGAUUGUACAUCUUUAUAAUUUCAUAUAUUUAUACAAUUUCCGACAUCACUAAGUGAGACAAUGAGACAUACAGACUUUUCCCAACACUUGUGCGCACGUGCUCCACGUGCUUGGAGAGACAAAGAAAGAUUAAGAAAGUUUUUUUUUUAUAAAAAAUUUAAAUUUUAAAUACAAGCAAUAAUCUCAACUACUUUAACUUAUAAUCAAACUCGUAUGCAAAGCAAUGACGGAUGCAUAGUACCUAAAAAAGGGACCUACAUUGGGAAAAUAAGGGGACACGAGGAGGGAAAUAUGGGGAACUCGGGAGGGGAUAAGGGAGGGGUCCACAACCAUCUUGGUCUUUAAGUGGCUCUAUCCUUGGGCGAAGAUGACAAAUACAAUGUCGUGGUCAAUUUACUUAAUUCAUGUUUGUAAGAAGUUUUUUUUGAAGAAAUUACGAAGCGAUAAAAAUUUAUUAGAUCAACGCACAUAAGAGAACAAAGGACAAAGACGGUAAAAUGAUUAGGUUUGUUAGAAGCUUUAAUGUUAAGCAAAUGUUGGAAUAAAGGAACAAAGAGAUUGAAAAUAAGAUUGACACUGCUAGCUAGAGUGGUAAUUAAUCUAAGCUAAAGUAGGGCUUCUAAUUUAAAAAUAAUAAUAAUAAUCACCUUCACAUCAAUAUUCAAUAAAUUAGUUGACAAUUACAAAAGACAUGAUUAUGAAUUAGAUUCGAUCAUUCUAAUUAAUAAUUUAUCUCCCAUCACUCUCAUUGCUAAUGUCACAUUAAAAAACCAAUUAGAGGUUGCUCAUUCGGCAAGUUAUCUGCGGGCAUAUAUAUGGCCCAUUUGGCAGAAAGAAAGAAACCCACGCAAAUGCAUUGCUUAUUUUAUCACUUUUUUUCUUUGCUCCUCAAGUAAGUAAUGAAUAUAAUCCAAGUUGAUUAGAGCGAAUUUGCUCCCCAUUCUAUAUCUGAGUUUGAAUCUCUCUCACUAUAAUUUAGAACAGUUUAAAGUAUUUAUCGCUUGUAAUUAGUACCAUAAUCGCAAAUAUGAGAUGGCUAGCUACCAAAUUGAAUAUAUGAAAUUUGUUGACUGAUAGUUGCUUGUUUACAGACAUAAAAAGACUUACUUUUCCUCCUCAACAACAAAUUGGUAUUUCUUAAAUUAGUUGAGCGGCCUCAUCAUUCUGUUUGAGCUUGAUGCUUUUGUCAAGUUAGUCCUGGAUUUAAUUAAUUUACAAAUUUAAUUAAUAAAGGAAAAAGCCAUUGGUUACUAAAGUCAUCUCCAAAGAAAGUUGGCUUUUAAUUAGAAGACAUCCAUCUUUUUCACACUUUUUUCGAAUCAAAAAGGAAAAAAGUUAUGGCCAAAGAGAAUAAGAAACGCACACAAAAUAAAAAUAGAAGAAGAAGAAGAAGGUCCCGCACUCCUGCAUGCACGUGAAACUUUAUCUGGAAACUUCUUUUUUGCGUUUGGUUUUAAUCCUGGGGCCAUGGAAAAAAUUGGACUGGCCCUAAAAGAUAUGCUUUUGUCGCCUAAAAAAGAUAUAAAAUAAAAUCUAAUUAUGAUUCAUUUUAAAAUAAUUUAUGGUUUUCAUUAUUAAGAAGAUUUUGAAAAAUACAAUUUUACAUAUCUAACAUGAACUCGCUGUGAAUAAAGAUAAAAAAAAAAACAGAAACAUAUAGAUAUGUGUGCGAGCGUGAGUCGAGAGACUAAUUAACUUUAUUAUACAGAAAAUUGGAAAAAAUAAUUUUGUUACUUUGAUAUCUAUAAUAUAGACAUGCAUAUUCGGUACUAUUUCAUGGAGCAUGUCUUUUUUCCUUUCUCCCCUUAAGAAUCUUAAUUUAGGUCCAAUUGGUUAAUGGACAACAAUAUAUAUAUAUAUAUAGACAGAUGAUGAUGUUGAAUUUGAAUAAUUGAUGGCAUGAUUACUUUUCUUAAUAUAAUGGGGUUGAAACUGAAAAAUAAUCGAGUGCACUCUUAUUUGAAUAUGUAUAAUUUACAUUAAUAAUCUAACGACAUAAUAUGUAAGAUUAUAUGACACAAUUACCUACUAGUUUGCUUGUCUUCUACCUUUUUUCUUCUUCACAAAAUAUAUUUGAAGUACAUUAUCCUUUUGUUCGGUUUCACAAGUAACCCAUGCAAUCAAUUGCCUUACCACAUACCAAUAAAAUAUAGAAAAAAAAAGGAGACAAAAAUCCUCUUAUAUAAUAAUAAGGGUGAUCAUUCCAAUUCAUGCUAUAAUAUUAUCCAAAAAAGUUCCUUAAUUAAUCAUCAUCAAUUAUCUUUUUAAUUAAAAACGAAAGAAGUCUCAAUCUCAAAUUGGUAAAGCGAAAUAAUGAGUGGGAUGUUUGUUUAUGGUCUUGGUCUUAUUUUAAAUAAUUUUACAUGAACAACAUGCAUGCAGUCUGCAGACAAGCUAAAAAUGCCAAAAAAAACGGAAAACAAAAAAAGAAACCAAGAGCAACAAAUUGCACCAAAGCUGGGCCUGCUUGAUCAUGAUGAUGAACAUUGGAAGUCGAAGCAAACAAUUUGUAAUGUUACGAAUUGUCAGCUAUUGCAUGCAGAAAGAAAGAGGAUCAGACCUAAUGGUCUGACUGUGACACUCUACCCACCCUUAGAUCUUUGACUAUUUUGUUCAUCGCAUGUGGGUCUCCUUCCCUAUAAUCCUUACCAAUACAAAUAAGAAAAAUAAAAGAAAUAAAUUCCCCAUAGAAUAAGCAAGGGACUAACAUGGGUGCAUACGAAUACUAGAUAUAUGUUACCUGUUUUUCACCAAACACGUGACAAACAAGUCUUUGUUUAUAUGAAAUAUUGGAUCAUUGAUCUUUCCAAUUUGGAAACUAGAACUAGAAGGGCGUUGGGAAAAAAGAAAAAAAAGAAGAAGUAGAUGGAUAAUCUCAUAGCCUUGAUAAAGGAAAAAUAAAUAUCAUCAAUGGAGUCCUGUCUAACGAAAAAAUGCCUUGAUUUGCAGAUCAAUAAGUUUGAAUUCCCAUCGCUCCCUCUCAUUCCUAAUUUUGAUAAAAAUAAAAAAGAAAAAGAAAAAAAGGAAGCAUUUAUUUGUUUUCAUACUUGUGUUGCAAACAUAUAUGAUAGUUUGGGGAUGGGAAUAUUUUCACACCAAAAAUAGCUAUCUGAGGUUUGUUUAAUGAAUAAAGUAUCUUUCACUAUAUUUAUAUAGAGAGAAAAAAGAAGUUGCCCAAACCCCCUCUCACAUUGGGGGUGUGGAUUGUAGAGAUACAACCAGUUUUGCUAUGAAAAUGACUCCAUCAUAAUAUAUUUCAUGUGAAUCUUCACUGUUGUUAAUUAUAUCAAUUUUUGUCAUUAUACUUGUUUUGCACACAUCUGAUAUUCUAUAAAUGUAUGGAUAUUUUUAAGAAGGAAUGUAUUUUUCUAUUACUUAUACAAUUUGAAAAGUAUACAAAAAAAAGAAAAAAAAACAGACAUUGAAGAUAGUGAUUAUAGUGACAAGAAAAUAAAAAUUAUGGGUCUCACUCACAUCAAUUAGUUGUAUAAUUUUAUUUUAUUUAUGAUUUGGAAAAGAUAUUAUGACUGAUGUUUAAUGGUUUUUGACUCUCCACAUGAUUGGUGUGCACUGUCCCCACCCAGAACAUAAAAUACAGCUUUUCUCUGCAAUUGCAUCUUUGUUUUCCCUUUUACCUUUUGCAGAUGGAAAGAUAGUUUAAAAGAAGUUAAAAAGAAAUGGCUACUUGCUAGAGGCAGAGAGAGAGAGUCAGAAAUCAAAAUAUUCAAGGAGAAGGCCUGAAAGAUCCAAAACACACCUCCCCACCAUUCCUAGGCUUCCCAAACCCCCCCCUCUCUCUCUCUCUCUCUCUCUCUCUCUCUCUCUCUCAUCCAUUGGUUGGAACCCACAAUUUGUAUUUUCAUGUGUUCUUAAAAUUAGUAAAGCAAAAGCAAACAACAAUGAAGCUUCUUCUUGUUAUUGCUCUCAAUUUGCUUUUGCUGCUUGUACACCAAAAUCAGCCACGUCCCAUUUGUGUUGGUGCCACACCUGACCCACUUGUUUCCUCCGUAUUAGCUCCGCUUUCCUCACCCAUUUCUCCAAUUGCCUCACCCAUUUCUCCAAUUGCUUCAUCAAUGGCUUCCUUCUCUCCAGGUACUUAAUACUUAUGCUUUGCUCUGCUCUCCAUAGACUGAAGACUCUUCCUUUUCAUUUCUAGCAAGUGGGGUUUUAAUUGGGUCACGGGUGCACCACUUCGAAAAUUCGAAUUUCAAAAAUGACCACCAAAUUGCGUGCAUUUACUGCAAUAUAUUGAAUUCAAUUUCUCUGAUUUUAUCAACUUCUGUGAUGUUGGUGCAAAAAUCUCCUGGUUUUAAUGUAUGAGAUAUUGCCCAUUUGCUCAAUUUUUGCUGAAACACGCCUCUAUAUAUUUAAUUUGUAAUCAGAAAUUCAAGAAGGAAGUGAAGGGCAUCAAAUGGAGCCACAUAGGAAAAUGCUAAUUGCUCUCAUUGUCACCUGCACUGCACUUGGUGUAGUUUUGUUGUCACUGUUGUGCUUGUGGGUUUAUCACAAGAAAUGUCCACACAAGUCCCACAAGAAAAGUGCUCAGAGCUCAGGUACUUUCAUUUGUACCAAGCACUUUUUGCCCUCUAAAUCUUGCUUCAAUUUGUGCGUUUUAGUAUGCUCGUAAAUUGUUCUUCUCUGAGAUUUUUUGUUCUGUUUGGUUCUGUUUCUUUGGUUUGUGUAAGAAGAUGCUGAGAAGGGGCUUGCAUUGGGUCCAUUUAUGGGUAAAUUCAAUUCCAUAAGGAUGGUUUCUAAGAAAGGAUCUGUUUCAGUAAUUGAAUAUAAAGUACUCGAAAAAGGCACCAACAAUUUCCGGGACAGCAACAUUAUUGGUGAGGGUGGAUUUGGAUGUGUUUAUAAGGCCCGGUUGGAUGAUAAUUUGCUUGUUGCAGUCAAGAAACUAGACUGUGCAAGUCAGGAUGCUGAGAGAGAAUUUGAGGUAACUUUUGCUCAAAAUUUUAGUUGGAGUUUUGUAUAAUGCUGUAUUUAUUGUAAAUCUUAUCUGAUGUAUUUAUUAUGUCUAAAUUGCAGAAUGAGGUGGAGUUGUUACAUAAAAUUCAGCAUCCAAAUAUAAUUUCCUUUUUGGGUUGUAGUACUGAUGGUGACACAAGGUUCAUUGUUUAUGAGUUGAUGCAUAAUGGAUCUCUGGAAACUCAAUUGCAUGGUAAUACAUUUAGUUUCUGUUAUUUUUUUUUAAAAUUAAAAAAGGAAUAUCAUGAAAUAUAUAUUUUUGUCCUAUUGUUGCAGGACCGUCUCGUGGUUCAGCACUAACAUGGCAUAUGCGAAUGAAAAUUGCUCUUGAUGCAGCAAGGUGAGCUUGUUUUCCCAAUUGUGGAGUCCUUUAGUUGUUAUGGGUUGUUUACAUUUUAACAUAUUGGGUACUGUUGACCAGAGGAUUAGAACAUCUGCAUGAGUACUGCAACCCUCCAGUGAUCCAUAGAGAUCUGAAAACAUCUAAUAUUCUUUUAGAUGCCAACUUCAAUGCCAAGGUAUGGUUAUAUAAAUUAUUGUAGUGUCUCAUCUUUCCUUAUAAAAUUAUUGAGCUUGUAUUAAAAUAUUUCAAUAAUGCAUUAUUAUCAUCCUCUAGCGCUAAAUUCACUGAAGUUUUUUUUUUUUCUCUCUCAUGGUGGCUUGUUUCAGCUUUCUGAUUUUGGUCUUGCUGUGGCUGAUGGGGCCAAAAACAGUAAUAACAUCAAGCUCUCUGGCACCUUGGGUUAUGUUGCUCCAGAGUAUCUUUUAGAUGGUAUGCCAAUUAAACUUGUAAUAAUUGCAAGGUGUAUUCUUUAAUUCUCACUGGUUACUGUGUCUACUAAACUAUAGUUUCUUUUCCCUAAGCUAAAUAUAAUCUAAUUGUUCUUUGGACCCUUGACAACUACUAUGGUACUGCGUUUGAUCGACAUAAUAAAGUACGUGUCUUUUAGUUAAGCUAUCUAGGGGCCGUAGCUGCACAUGUUCUGCCACUGGGUUCAUAUACCAUUUUAGAUUUGGAAGAGGAAAUCCCAGAACUACUUGUUACACUCAAGCUUAUCUGAAAUUAGGGAUGUUAUAAGCCAUUUAUGUGGAAAUUUGAACUUGAGAGAAGGGAGAGGUGGACGGCUUGAUAGUUAUCAACUUUUGGAUGACCCGUUGAUUUUCUGAUAAAUUUGGAUUCACCUUGAAGACAAGUUUUUAGCUGAAUAAUAUGUAAAUUUUUGUUUAUAGACUUGGAUGGCAUAUGCAUGUUAGUAUCACACAUUUUAAAUAAUAAUGGCCACCAAAAUGCUAUUUGUCAGCGAGAAUACUAAAUAGCACAAUUUUCUAAAGAGCUGUGUGAGCUUCCCUGCACCAGACUUCUCGGCUUUCACUUUUGUUAUUAUAGCAUUUGAAACAAGUUUUGGUGGUAAGCAAGUCACUCUUAUGAUUUCUCAGGUAAAUUGACAGACAAGAGUGAUGUCUAUGCUUUCGGGAUUGUGCUUCUGGAGCUUCUACUAGGAAGAAGGCCUGUAGAAAAACUGGCACCAACUCAGUGCCAAUCUAUAGUCACAUGGGUAUGCCUUUUUCCUAACUGCUCUCAAUUUUAAUUUAUUUGCAUAAUUCCUGUCAAAAACUUAAAUAUUUCAAAACUCAAUGCUGUAAUACAGGCCAUGCCUCAGCUCACUGACAGAUCAAAGCUUCCAAACAUUGUGGAUCCUGUGAUCAAAGAUACAAUGGAUCUGAAGCACUUAUACCAGGUUUGUGAAUUACAAACCCAGUAUGUUUGGUUGCAAUUAGUUCUAUGACAGACUCGUGCUUGACUAUGUGUAUCGAUUCUUUUGUUUGUACUGAAUGGACACAAAAUUUCAUGCUGUAAUAUAAUUGAUGCGUUGCAAUGCAUUACGCACAGGUUGCUGCUGUAGCUGUGUUAUGUGUGCAACCAGAACCAAGUUACCGCCCACUGAUAACCGAUGUUUUGCAUUCCCUUGUCCCGCUUGUUCCAGUCGAACUUGGUGGGACGCUAAGAGUUACACAACCUACAGCCCCAGGGAGCCCCCCAGCUGGUCAUUGAUGCACAAGGCAUUUAUGAUGACACUUUUGCAACAUUCUGGGUUCCUGCUGCUCAAUUGACUGCUCCAAAUCCCACAGUGAUUUUCUUACUUUUAUUUUGCUGGGAAGUUAAUGCCUUCAGUUAUUUCAGAGGAGGAAAGUUGGUCUGGUAGGAAUGUAGAGCUAUUGGGAUCGUCUAUCGCAUUUGUAAAUUGGAUCAAUUAGUUUCAAGUUGCUUGUGCAUAUGAGGGCAUUCGUAGAAACACUAGCUAAUUUCAUUUUUGACCUUUGUUUUUCAGUGUAAGAAAUCAGCUAAUUUUCAGUGGUAAUUGGUAAUUACCUCUGGAGUCUGGACCUGUCUUUGUUCUGAGAGUUCUUUUGGGAAGGUAAAAGCUAACAAUCAUCUUUUGCUAAUGAAGUCAAAUUGCGAAGGAAAGCCUCAAAUAUUACCAUCUAAUGAUUACAAACAUCAACUUCUUUCUGAGUCCAUCUAAAGUUCUCUUAAAGCCUGAAGAGUGGAGAGCCAGAAAGUACAUAUAAAUGAGAAAAUCCUGUUUUUAUUCUUAAGAAAAAGUCUUAUUUCUAAUUAAUUCUCUUCAGGUUUGAUCUUUUAACACCUUUUUUUUGUUUUUUUUGUUUUUUGGGUGGGGUUUGUGGGGUGGGUUUUCCCCUCAAGUUCAUUUAAUAUAGAGAAAAGAAAAAGAAACCUACAAGACAAGGAGAUAAUAAGGGCAAAGCAGUCUUAGCAACCCUAGCUACUCGAAUGGAAAAUGGCAAUUUGACAGUGAACAUCUCUAUGUCAGGCCAUCUCCAGCUAUGGCCAUAGGUCAAAUGUAGUCUUAAAAUAAUGUAAAAUUCAUCUUCAGUUAUGGGCUAAUUUUUUUUUUUUUGGGCCACAUUUGGCCCUUUAGCCCUCCAAGCAGGCUAUUUGUAACCCAGUUUUAGCCUAGGCCAAAUUUUUUUUGUGGGCUCAACGCAUGUGCUUUUCAAAAAGAGAAAGUAUCACGCGUGAACAAGAGAACGAAGCAUCUCGUGCAACUGCAUAUCCAACAUCUAAUAUUAAAGGAACGCUGACGUCAUCGAUGACGUAAGCUAGCUAUUAGGUUAUUUUUUAUUUAAAAAAAUAACAUUUUUAAAUGUUUUCAAAUUCGUUUUGUUUUUAAAAAAUAUAUAUAUAAUUGGUUUUUGACCCAUGGAGGUUAGAACCAUUGAAUGAAAAGUUACUUUUUUUAUAUAUUUAAAAUCUUUUAAAAUGUUUUAAAAUUGUUUUGUUUAAAAAAAAUAUAAAUAAAACGUACACGUGUCAUAUAUGGAAUAUUGUCUCUAAAUAGUAGUUGAAUUAAAUUAAACAAUACAUAGUUGUGGAAUGUAAGAGUGUUGUACUAUAGUUUUUCUCAAAAUAAUAAAAUAUGAAGGGCUCUAAAAUAUAGCUUUGCAUGGCUGAAGAUGGAAAAAAUUGUGAGAAAUUAAUAUAAUUUUAUUUAAUAUUAGUUUUCUAUUUGAAUGGAAAUUAAUAAAAUCCAUUGGAUUAAAGACAUGACCCUUGGGUAAAGACAUCUUCAAUUGGGGGGUGACAACUCUUCAAACUAAGAGAUACAUUGUUUGGGGUGACAACUCUUCAAGAUCAAGGGAUGCACUUUUUGCCUUUUCAGAUUGGGAUACCUUUUUAGAAAGAGUAUUUCAUCAUCUAUAAAUAGAGCAAUCCUCCUACAGUUUUAGUCAUUCAAUCAAUUCUCUACAUACAUACUCAUAUUUCCUACAAUCUUAAGACGAAUUACGCCCCACACUGGUGCUUAUGGUUCUCUAGCGCUCGCCUCUCAGGAUACAACGACUCUCCUCCUUAUGAAAGAAGCACUCCAAUUCACAAGGAACUUUGAACCAAAAUUAUGUAGGAACCUCUCUUUAUGAAAACUCUAAUGCUCUCUAUAUAUGAAAGUAUGUAAUUAAAUUAAACAAACACUAAUUGCCUUUUGUUUCUAUUGUUAGACAAAGUCUACAUAUACAGCAUCGGUUUUUAUUUAUUUAUUUGGAAUCUGUUUUCUGUUUGGCAUCAUUUUUUAUUAUUCUGUUCAUAAAUUCUGAUUAUAUUUAUCUACAUACAUUAAUAUUACUGUACCUGUGAAUUAUAGCAUUCUGUAUUACUGUUAUCUUGAAUAAUUGCAUAUUGCUUUUGCUAUACUUUUUAUCGGUAUUGCAUUAUUAAUUUCUGUGUGUUUUGUUGUAACACACUAUUGUGAUUCAUAAUUUAUCUAUUAGAGACUGCCAAAUAUUUAUUUAUUGACAUUGAGAUUGUUUAUUCGUCUUAAGGAAAAUGUCGAAUGAGAUACAGAAAGUGGGUCCUUCUAUGAAGACAAGUGCACCUGCUGUAGGUUGCCUUCAUCCCAUAAUCAUGCAGAGAAGCCUGAAAAAUUUAAUGGGAUGGAUUUUAAGAGAUGGCAACAAAAGAUGUUGUUCUACAUCACCACAUUGAAUUUGGCUCAUAUCUUGAAAGCAGAUCCUCCUGGACCUGGUGAUACAAUAGAAACAGUGGCUGCUUCUGAUGCAUUGAACCAGUCGGAUUUCCUUUGCAGGAACUACAUCCUAAAUGGUUUAAGUGAUGCACUAUACAAUGUGUAUAGUCCAAUUCAGACUGCCAAGGCUUUAUGGGAGUCACUAGACAAGAAAUAUCGAACCGAAGAUGCAGGAAUGAAGAAAUUUAUUGUCGGUCGGUUUCUUGACUACAAGAUGGUAGACUGCAAGACUGUUAUAAGUCAAGCCCAAGAACUCCAACUCAUUCUACAUGAGAUACAUGCAGAAAAGAUGGAAUUGAGUCUUUCCAAGUGGCUGCUGUCAUUGAAACCACGCUCUUGGAAGGAUUUCAAAAACUACCUUAAGCAUAAGCGUAAGGAGAUGGGACUUGAGGAUUUGAUAGUAAGGCUAAGGAUCGAAGAGGACAAUCGCCGUGCUGACAAAAAGUCUGGAUCCAUAAUGGAAGCAAAGGCUAACAUAGUGGAAAAAGAGUCAAGAAAAAACAAAAAGAGGAAGCACUCUGGAGAAGGCUCAAGGCAAGGGAACUCCAAGAAGUCCAAGGAAUUUAAGGGAAAGUGCUUCAAUUGCAACAAGCAAGGGCAUCGAGCUGUGGAUUGCCGAAGUAGAAAUGGACAAGGCAACCAAAAGAAAAAGGGCAAGACUGAGGCACACAUGACUGAAGAAGACAAGCUUUCAACUGAUUUGUCAGAUAUUAAUCUUUCUGCAGUCGUGUCUGAAGUGAACUUGGUGGGCCCACCAUGGAAUGGUGGGUGGAUACUGGAGCUACACGCCACAUAUGUUCUGAAAUGAAAAUAUUUUCUACAUAUGAAGCAAAUGAUCAAGGAGAACCUUUAUUUAUGGGAAACUCCUCCACCUCCAAAAUUCAUGGCCAAGGAAAAAUAGUUCUAAAGAUGACAUCUGGAAAGGAAGUCACUCUCAAUAAUGUACUUCACGUCCUGAGAUCCGGAAGAACUUGGUUUCUGGAUCACUGCUUAGCAAGAAUGGGUUCAAGUUAGUCUUUGAGUCUGAUAAGUUUGUACUUACUAAGAAUGGAAUGUAUGUGGGGAAAGGGUACCUUACUGAUGGACUCUUCAAGAUGAAUGUAAUGACUGUUGUACACAAAGUUAAUAAAAAUAAAGUUAGUUCUGCCUAUAUGCUUGAGUCAUCUGAUUUAUGGCAUGGAAGAUUAGGGCAUGUUAAUUAUGACAAAUUGCGUCAAUUAAUUAACAUGGAACUAAUACCUAAGUUUCAUAUUGAUUUCCAUAAUAAAUGUGAAACCUGUGUUGAAGCAAAACUAACUAGAUCAUCAUUCCAGUCUAUAGAAAGAAGUACAUAACCUCUAGAAUUAAUUCACAGUGAUAUUUGUGAUUUGAAAUUUGUACAAACUAGAGGUGGUAAAAAGUAUUUUAUUACUUUUAUUGAUGAUUGUACAAGAUAUUGUCAAUUAUAUUUGCUAAGAAGCAAAGAUGAGGCCAUAGAAAUGUUCAAACAUUAUAAAAGUGAAGUUGAGAAUUAACUUAGUAGGAAAAUAAAGAUAUUAAGAAGUGAUAGAGGUGGUGAAUAUGAAUCACCUUUUGGUGAGUUUUGUUCCCAACACGGAAUUAUUCACCAAACUACUACUCCAUACUCACCUCAGCAAAAUGGUAUUGCUGAACGCAAAAAUCGUACUAUGAAAGAAAUGAUGAAUGCUUUGCUAGUAAGUUCUGGAGCACCCCAGAAUUUGUGGGGGGAAGCUUUACUUUCUGCUAAUUACAUUCUCAACAAAUUGCCUCAUAAAAAGUUAGACAAAACACCUUAUGAGUUAUGGAAAGGUCACAAGCCUUCCUAUAAAUACUUGAAAUUGUGGGGGUGUCUAGCUAAAGUUGCAGUUCCAACCCCUAAAAAGGUUAAGAUAGGACCCAAAACUAUUGAUUGUAUCUUUAUUGGUUAUGCCAUUAACAGUAGUGCAUAUCGUUUCCUUGUACACAAAUAUGAUAUAUUAGAUGUACAUGUGAAUACGAUUAUUGAAUCAAGGAAUGCAUCUUUCUUUGAAAAUGUAUUUCCUUAUAAGGAUGCACAAGAAAGAAAUGCACUUAAAAGAACCUUUGAUACUGUUAAUAGCGAUAGCCAAGAAAGUCAUCAAGAAAAUAUGGACAAAGAGACUACAAAACCAGAACUUGGACAUGAACCCAGGCGUAGUAAGAGAGCUAAGACAACCAAAUCCUUUGGUCCUGAGUUUCUAACUUAUUUGUUAGAAAAUGAGCCUCAAAUCUACAAAGAAGCCAUGACUUCUCCUGAAGCUCCAUUAUGGAAAGAGGCUAUUAAUGCCGAAGUUGAAUCCAUCAUGCAGAAUCACAAUUGGGAACUUGUGGAUCUUCCUCCUGGAAAUAAACCAUUGGGUUAUACAUGGAUUCUUAAGAAGAAGAUGAAAGCUGAUGGAUCAAUUGACAAAUACAAGGCAAGGCUUGUUGUCAAAGGUUAUAAGCAAAUAGAAGGAUUGGAUUACUUUGACACAUAUUCACCAGUUACGAGAAUAACAUCGAUAAGAAUGUUAAUUGCAAUUGCAGCAUUGCAUAAUCUUGAGAUACAUCAAAUGGAUGUGAAAACGGCCUUUCUAAAUGGUGAUUUAGAUGAGGAAAUUUAUAUGGAACAACCUGAAGGGUUUAUUGUUCCUGGACAAGAAAAGAAAGUCUGUAAGCUUGUUAAGUCUUUGUACGGGUUAAAGCAAGCACCAAAACAAUGACAUAUGAAAUUUGACAAUGCACUAAUGUCAAAUGGUUUCAAGAUCAAUGAGUGUGAUAAAUGUGUUUAUACGAAAAGCACUCAAGAUGAUUUUGUAAUUAUUUGUCUUUAUGUUGAUGAUAUGUUAAUUAUUGGUAGCAAUAUUGGGAUGAUUAAAUCUACCAAGAAAAUGUUGACCAAUAAUUUUGACAUGAAAGAUUUGGGAGUAGCAGAUGUGAUUCUAGGGAUUAAAAUUUCUAAAACAUCUGAUGGACUAGUGUUAUCCCAAUCACAUUAUAUUGAGAAAAUACUUGCGAAGUUUAGCAAGUAUGAUACUAGUCCUGUAAAAAAACCUUAUGAUCCAAGUCUUAAUCUUGUGAAGAAUAUAGGUCAUGGUGUUUCACAAACAGAAUAUGCUCGUAUCAUUGGUAGUCUCAUGUAUCUUACGAAUUGCAAAAGGCCUAAUAUAGCUUACUCUGUUAAUAAAUUAAGCAGAUAUACUAGUAAUCCUGGAAGGGAUCAUUGGAAAGCUAUAGUCAGAGUUCUAAGAUAUUUAAGAUACAUCAAAAAUGUUGGACUGCAUUAUACAAGAUAUCCAGCUGUACUUGAAGGAUAUAGUUAUGCUAAUUGGAUAUCUAAUACUAAAGACUCCAAUUCUACAAGUGGAUAUGUCUUUACAAUUGGAGGUGCGGCUAUAUCAUGGAGAUCUACUAAGCAAACUAUUAUAGCAAGAUCUACUAUGGAAUCUGAGUUCAUAGCAUUAGAUAAAGCUGGUGAGGAAGCUGAAUGGCUACGUAAUUUCUAAGAAGAUAUUCCAUGUUGGCCAAAAAAUGUAUCUGUUAUAUGUAUACAUUGUGAUAGUCAAUCUACAAUUGCAAGGGCACAAAACAAUAUGUACAACGGCAAGUCUCGUCAUAUACGUCGAAGACACAACACCAUUAAGCAACUGCUCUCUAGUAGUAUAAUUACAAUUGACUACAUAAAGUCAAAAGAUAAUUUGGCGGAUCCGUUUACUAAAGGUUUGAACGGAGAGCAAGUUUAUAGAUCAUCGAGGGGAAUGAGGUUAAAGCCCAUGUCAAAUGAGUCGUCAUAGUGGAAACCCAACCUAGUUGAUUGGAGAUCCCAAGAUCUAGGUUCAAAAUGGACAACUAAAUUAUGAUAACUCAAAAAUAACACUGCGGAGAUAUAUUCUCCUACCCAUAUCCUAUGAUGAUACAGUGUUGUAUGAAAUGUGUUUAGGUUAAGCCAUGCUUUUAAUGAUUCCUAUACCUUGAUUAUCCGAGUAAGAUAUGAGAGGAUAUUACCAAUAGGAAGUCACCUAUAUAAGUGUGAAAUGGGGCCGUUUCCAUGAGAAUUUUCAGGGCUAAAUUCUCUAAAGCACUUAUGAAACCAGGAAUUGCUCAAGGCCAAAACGAGCACAACCGAUCGAACCAGAUAUGUCUAGAAGGAUAUUGUGUGAGUAUUAUUGUCUGGGUUUACACGAACGGCUGAACAGUUCAAGACAUCACGUUCACUGAUUAGCCAAGUGAAUCCGAUAGUACUUCACUAUGGAAGGUUCAAAGUCAAAAGCUACCUAUCUAGAUGCUAUAUUCUUCUAAUAGGAACUCUCUCUAAGUCUGCAUUAUCAUUUACAUAUUGUUGAAACUAAUUUCCAUUCAUGUGGGGGAUUGUGAGAAAUUAAUAUUAUUUUAUUUAAUAUUAGUUUUCUAUUUGAAUGGAAAUUAAUAAAAUCUAUUGGGUUAAAGACAUGACCCUUGGGUAAAGACAUCUUCAAUUGGGGGGUGACAACUCUUCAAACUAAGAGAUACAUUGUUUGGGGUGACAACUUUUCAAGAUCAAGGGAUGCACUAUUUGCCUUUUCAGAUUGGGAUACCUUUUUAGAAAGGGUAUUUCAUCAUCUAUAAAUAGAGCAAUUCUCCUGCAGUUUUAUUCAUUCAAUCAAUUCUCUACAUACAUACUCAUAUUUCCUACAAAAUUUAACUAUACACUAUUUUUAAUGGCUAAAUUUCUAGUCCUAGACUACAUUUAACCCUAUAACAGGGGAUAGCCAGAUUGCCAUUUCCCUGAAAAAUUACCGAUACAUGAAGUUAAUUACCCAGCAGAUUUGGGUAACCAAUGUAAUUUCCACCCUUUGAGUUGGAAUUAGCUUUAUUGAGUAGUCAAUUCCAAAAAUCUUGACCUGAGAUGCGAAAGUCUACACCACGUUUUUUUUUUUUUUUUGUGGUCAACGAGUCUACACCACGUUUAUUGCAGCAUGAUGAAUUGAAUCUGAAACAAAACUCAUCUGAAUAAUUGACUUUUUUCUGAGAUUGAAGAGAAUGCGGGUUUGUUAAUUAAUUUAAGGCUUCAAAUCAGACAGGAGUUGGCCUGAGUCCAAUGAAAUUCAUAUAAUAUAUACUCACGUCCGUAAAAAUCAUUAAUUUAACUGUUCGUUAAAAAAAAACAAAACAAAAAAGUCUUACCAUGCGAGGUCGAGAACCACCCACCCUUUUCAGUUUUUUAUCAAUGCAGACUUGUCAAUGACAAGCAUCAUCAUCAUCAUCUACCUCUGGUAUCUUCCACCAUUUGGCUACCUUAACCUUUGAUGAAUUUCACGUUGGAUGGUUUCUAACUAUAAUAAUAAUGAAUAUUAAGAUUUCAUUAACUAAAAUUUUACAUAAUUGAAAUUGGCAACCCCUUAUAUAUGUCUCAAUAUCUGCAUGAACCUCUGGCAAUUUAAAACAAUUAAAAACUUUUAUCCAGCAAAUUCUACAUAACAUCCCACUUCUCACAACAUUUCCACUGGGACACACAAACCAUGUUUAUUUUACAUAAGCUGAGAUUGAGAACAGAGACAUUAAUAUACUAGCUAGGACUUGGAGUUGGGAUGGGGAAAUAUGAUAUUGGAUUUCUUGGUUGUAGCCUCAAUGGUGGACUUGGUGUUGGAGUUGGAGUUGGAGUUGGAGAGAGAGUGAAAAUAAGAGGCCAUAGAUUGGGCCAUGGAAUCAAACAUCAUUCGCUUCACUGACCUCCUUUUUGCUGGAAUCACACUUGCAAAAUUUGAAGUCUUUGGUUGAACGCAUGUUUUUUUAUUGCCUGCUGCAACCACUUCCUUACCUGGGUUCUUCUUCAUUUCUUCUUCAGCUGUCCUGUGUUUCCACCCCUUUGCUUAGCUUCUGGCUGUGUAAGAGUGUUACGUGUUUGAUGAGUUUUGCAAUGGUGUUAGGGGGACUUGUUUGGGCUUGUUUAUAUAGACACAAACAAAAACCAAAAACCAAAAUAAGGUUUGGAAAUUACACAGAAUGUUCGUCUAAAAAGGUUUAGAGUUUAUAUUAUUUUAUUGGCAAUAUCUUUGAAACUUCAAUCAAAUCCACUUCUUACGUCCAAAUUCGGAGUAUUGAUGUAAAACGUAGGACACAACUCCAAGUCGCUUGGCCACCUCAUGAAUUUUGCAACGUAGAAAAAGAAAAUGCUAUUAACUUUUACAAAUUUGCAUAUUUUUUAUAUUUUAAAAUAAUAAAAUACUUGAAGUAGACUCACUUGAUAAACCUAGUAGUAAAAAGUCUUAUAUAGAGUCCACAACAAAAAACUCUUAAAGUUUUUCGUAUAGACAAGGACAUUACAUUUUCCCAUUAAUGAUACUUUCAAAGUUUUUCACACCGUUUCCUCCUCUAGAUCUAGAAGCUUCAUUAUUAUGUUAUUGUUAGAUAACUAAUUCGGAUUUCAGUGACUUUCUAUAAAGACGAUAAAGUAAAUUUAGGUUUUAAUAAUAAAAAAACUUUUCAGUAAAAUAAAAGUAAACAUGAGAAAAUAAUUGAUUUCCCAUUAAUCAAACGGGGUAUAGGUAGCUUAAGGAAAGGAAUUUUGUUUUCAGUAUUAUUUAGAUUUUCAAAACAAAUAAAAUAAAAUUAUAUACGUGGUCCACGAGGAAAUUUCUCAACCUUUUUCAUUUCACUUAUUCCUUGUUGAGUUUUAUUUCGCAGAUUGUAAUCGAAAGGCCAUCUCGUGGCUAAACGACAAAAAUGGAGUUACUAGAAGAGCAAACUAUAUUGAUAGAACUUAGAAGGUUGAAGUUCAAAAUAGAAAUAACAUAAUUUGCUACCAAAAAUCACAAGUUUGUUAGGCACAAAUUUUUACGUAAAUAUGGAGACAAUGGUCUUUACAAAACUCAGAAUUUACUUUCAAUGGUUUUAUUAUCUCUUUCUUGUAGACAGAGAAAAAUACCACAAAAAAUAAAUUAAUGUAUCAAAAUCUAAAUUUACAUCUCACUCAUUGGAGGAAAAAUCACAUUUACAUCCUCAAGACGGCAUUACUCUUAGCCCUCCCUGUAACAAUUACCGGUACAUGAAGUUAAUUAACAAAAAAAGAAGUCAUUAUACAUGUCUCAAUAUCUGCAUGAACCUCUGGCAAUUUAAAACAAUUAAAAACUUUUAUUUAAUUUAAGACAUUACAGAAACCAGUAAACAUAUAUAGACUUCACACUUCUCUAUACUGCAACAAUUUCAAAACGACAUGAUCAUCUAUAGUAUAUGGAAUUUGAUCAAGCCCACAACAUUUCCACUGAGACACACAAACCAUGUUUAUUUAACAUAAGCUGAGAUUCAGAACAGAGACAUUAAUAUACUAGCAAGGACUUGGAGUUCUUGGUUGUAGCCUCAAUGUCAAUGGUGGAGUUGGAGUUGGAGUUGGAGUUGGAGUUGGAGUUGGAGUUGGAGAGAGUGAUAAAAAGAGGCCAUAGAUUGGACCAUGGAAUCAAACAUCAUUCGCUUCACUGACCUCCUCUUUGCUGGAAUCACACUUGCAAAAUUUGAAGUCUUUGGUUCAACGCAUGUUUUUUUAUUGCCUGCUGCAACCACUUCCUUACCUGGGUUCUUCUUCAUUUCAACUUCAGCUGUCCUGUGUUCAACUUUUCCACCCCUUUUGCUUAUCUUCUGGCUCUGUAAGAGCAACUACACCCAUUUGUCCUUAGCCAUGGCAAGGGGGGAGCUAGGGCAGUCACUAUUCACGUGAAUAGUGGUUGCCCUUGCAAAUAGUAUUUUGUGUUUGCACCCAUUGCCAUGGCUAAGGGCAAUUACUAUUCAUUUUUUUGUUUUUUCACAACUUUUUUUUACUUAAAUAAUUAAUUUGGAUAAUAUUUUCGGAUAAGAUUUUUGGGUUCCUACGUGUCAAUACUAUUCAUAUCGGAUAAGAUUUUUUUUAGCGGAGGUGCAAUAUUGGCUAAGUAUGAAAAAUGGUUUUUCGGAAUAAUCAUUUUCUCAAGAUAAUUUUUGGCGGCUUUUAUUCCUUACACAUCAAAUAAGAAAACUUGAUUUUAUGGAAUUUUAAUAUGAAGUAUAUAUUGACUUAAUGAGCCAUCAUUUUUAGCCUAAAUCGUAUUUUGCACUAAAACCGAUUUUUCAUAUUUUGAUUUGGUGGGAAUUUGAUUUUCUAGUAUUUUUAUUUGAAUCCAAAUGGGGGGUACUUCCUUAUUUACAUUGUAAACUUAAGUAAAUGGAGUAAUAUAGAGAGGAAAAUAUUGAGUAUAAAGAGUGAAUAAUGAUAGAAGUAGAAGAAAAUGUACGAGGAUUAGUGUUGAAAGUGAAGGGUAUUGAUAGGUAUUUAUAGAAGAAAAAAUCUGACUUUUUUAGAAUUUUUUUAAAAAAAAUUAGAUUUUUUUAUAAAAAAUUAGAUUUUUUUAUAAAAAAUUAGGCGAUGACGUCACGCUGACGCAGGCCGUGACGUCAUCAGCCUGGGUUUGAACGCGGGCUGAAAUGGCCCGAGGGCCAGCCCGAGUUGGUGGGUCCCACACGCAACUCGGGCCUGGGCUCCCCGCUGGAAUGAGAUUUUUUUUCCGCCCCCCCCCCCCCCCCCCCCCCCCCAGCCUUGGGCUGAGCCUCCCCGGUGGAGUUGCUCUAAGUGUUACGUGUUUGAUGAGUUUUGCAAUGGUGUUAGGGGGGUUUGUUUGGGCUUGUUUAUAUAGACAAAAAAAAAAAAAAAAAAGGUUCGGAAACUACACAGACUGUUCGUCUAAAAAGAUUUAGAGUUUAUAUUAUUUUAUUGGCAAUACCCUUGAAACUUCGAUCAAAUCUGCUUUGCACCUCCAAAUUCGGGGUAUUGGUGUAAGGAAAACAUAGGACACAACUCCAAGUUGCUUGGCCACCUCAUGAAUUUUGCAACGUAGAAAAAGAAAAUGCUAUUAACUUUUAAAAAUUUGCAUAUUUUUUAUAUUUUAAAAUAAUAAAAUACUUGAAUUAGACUCACUUGAUAAACCUAGUAGUAAAAAGUCUUAUAUAGAGUCCACGACAAAAAACUAAGUUUUUCAUAUAGACAAGGACAUUACAUUUCCCCAUUAAUGAUGCUUUUAUUUUCUAUUCAACCAUUUUCGCACGGUCUCCCUCCUCAAGAUCUAAAAGCUUCAUUAUUAUAUUAUUGUUAGAUAAGUAAUUCUGAUUUUAGUGACUUUCUAUAAAGACGAUAAAGUAAAUUUAAGUUUAAGUUACAAAAAAAAUUUUACUUUUGAAAAAAGUCAAAACUUUUCCGAAAAAGACAGAAAAACUUUUCAACUUUUAAACUAAAGACGUACAAAUAUAAAAGAUUCUUUAGAAAAUCCAAAAAUAAGUAAGGAUAUUUUUGUCUAUUUUAACUUCUUUUAAAAAUAUUUCUAUCUCUUUUGACAUUUUCUAAAAUAUCCCAGAUUAAAUAAGUUCCUAAAAAUUGAACUGUUCGAACUAACAAAUCUAAUUGAUGAUUGGAUCCACUUGCAAUAUAUAUAGGUAAACAUGCUUGGGAUUGGGGCUACAUAUACAGGGAUGCAAGGAAACAUUGUGGGCCAACUCAAGAUUGUAAAAUUAUGCUUAUGUUCCUGCCUUAGAGCAUUUCCAGCAAGGGGACCAAGGGGAGGGCUGGGGGCGCAAGUCCAAAAUGUUGUUUUCAAUAAUAAAAAGUGGCUCGGGCAAGGAGUGGGAUCCAGCGAACUGAGCUGGCCCGAGGGGAAAGCUGGCCCAAGCGCCAGCCAGCGUUUUGGAGAUGAUGUCAGUGAGCUGAUGUCAUGACGACGUCAGCUACAAUUCCCCCCAACGGCUAGCUUCCAUGUGGCGUGGGCUUGGCUCUUCGAUCAGAAUUUUUUCAGCAAUUCAACGACAACUAAUUUUUGUGCAAUAAAAAAAAAUAAAAAAAAUAAAAAAAUUACUGAUUUUUUUUUCUCUAUACCUUAUUUCUAUUUUCACCAUUUAAGUAAAUGUCUUUGUCCUUUUACUUUCAUUUAUUUUUAUAUUACUUCAUUUACUUAAGUUUACAAUGUAAAUAAGGAAGUACCACCCAUUUGGAUUCAAAUAAAAAUACUAAAAAAUCAAAUUCCCACCAAAUCAAAAUAUGAAAAAUCAGUUUUAGUGCAAAAUACGAUUUAGGCUAAAAAUAAUGGCUCAUUAAGUCAAUAUAUACUUCAUACUAAAAUCCCAUAAAAUCAAGUUUUCUUAUUUGAUGUGUAAGGAAUAAAAGCUGCCAAAAAUUAUCUUGAGAAAAUGAUUAUUCCGAAAAACCAUUUUUUAUACUUAGUCAAUAUUGCACAUCCGCUAAAAAAAAUUAUGGGUCCG